GAUGAGCUCGCGUCUGAUUAGCUAGUAGGUGUGGUAACGGCACACCUAGGCGACGAUCAGUAACUGGUCUGAGAGGAUGACCAGUCACACUGGGACUGAGACACGGCCCAGACUCCUACGGGAGGCAGCAGUGGGGAAUUUUCCGCAAUGGGCGAAAGCCUGACGGAGCAAUACCGCGUGAGGGACGACGGCUUUUGGGUUGUAAACCUCUUUUCCCUGGGAAGAAGAUCUGACGGUACCAGGGGAAUCAGCAUCGGCUAACUUCGUGCCAGCAGCCGCGGUAAUACGAGGGAUGCAAGCGUUAUCCGGAAUUAUUGGGCGUAAAGCGUCCGCAGGUGGUUUUGUAAGUCUGCCGUUAAAGCGUGGAGCUUAACUCCAUAUCGGCGGUGGAAACUACAAGACUAGAGUUUGGUAGGGGUCACGGGAAUUCUUAGUGUAGCGGUGAAAUGCGUAGA
rnacentral:rRNA from 1 species